rnacentral:rRNA from 1 species
UGGGGAAUUUUGCACAAUGGGGGAAACCCUGAUGCAGCGACGCCGCGUGAUUUAGAAGGCCUUCGGGUUGUAAAAAUCUUUUUUAUGGGAUGAAAAUGACAGUACCAUAAGAAUAAGGUCCGGCUAAAUACGUGCCAGCAGCCGCGGUAAUACGUAUGGACCGAGCGUUGUCCGGAAUCAUUGGGCGUAAAGGGUACGUAGGCGGCCCAGUAAGUUAGAAGUGAAAUAAUAUAGCUCAACUAUAUAAAGCUUUUAAAACUGCUAGGCUUGAGAGAUGGAAGGGAAAGUGGAAUUCCUAGUGGAGCGGUGAAAUGCGCAGAUAUUAGGAAGAAUACCGGUGGCGAAGGCGACUUUCUGGGCAUAAUCUGACGCUGAGGUACGAAAGCGUGGGUAGCAAACAGG